UAUUUUAUAAAAAACUAUUUAAAUUAUUUUAAUUGUAAAAAAACAAUUUUAAAAAAGAAAGACGAUAAGACCCUAUCGAACUUUACUUUAGUUUAACUGGGGCAGUUAAUUAAUUAUUAUUUUAAUUUAAAUAAAAAUUUAAUUUGACCUAAUAUUAUUAAUAAAAUAACUAAGUUACCGUAGGGAUAACAGCGUAAUAAAAUUUUUAAGAUCUUAUUUAAAAUAAAGAUUGCGACCUCGAUGUUGAUUUAAUAUCCUAAUUUACGCAAUAGUUAAUUAAGGAAGUCUGUUCGACUUUUAAAAAAUUACAUGAUUUGAGUUCAGACCGGUGUAAACCAGG
rnacentral:rRNA from 1 species